AGUGAACGCUGGCGGUAGGCCUAACACAUGCGAGUCGAACGGCAGCACAGUAAGAGCUUGCUCUUACGGGUGGCGAGUGGCGGACGGGUGAGGAAUACAUCGGAAUCUACUUUUUCGUGGGGGAUAACGUAGGGAAACUUACGCUAAUACCGCAUACGACCUACGGGUGAAAGCAGGGGAUCUUCGGACCUUGCGCGAUUGAAUGAGCCGAUGUCGGAUUAGCUAGUUGGCGGGGUAAAGGCCCACCAAGGCGACGAUCCGUAGCUGGUCUGAGAGGAUGAGCAGCCACACUGGAAAUGAGACACGGUCCAGACUCCUACGGGAGGCAGCAGUGGGGAAUAUUGGACAAUGGGCGCAAGCCUGAUCCAGACAUACCGCGUGGGUGAAGAAGGCCUUCGGGUUGUAAAGCCCUUUUGUUGGGAAAGAAAAGCAGCAGGUUAAUACCCCGCUGUUCUGACGGUACCCAAAGAAUAAGCACCGGCUAACUUCGUG
rnacentral:rRNA from 1 species